rnacentral:lncRNA from 1 species
UUUCCCCUGCACGAGUUGAGUACCUCAGUUUUAUCCUGACUUGCUCGUAUCCUCUGCAGGUGUGUUUUUCCCCCGGUUGAGUCUUUCCAUUUUCUUGUGGAAUCCUCUAGUCCCCUAGUAGUUUUGAGUCGUAGCCUGGCCUACACACGAGUCCCUUUUAUCCCCUCAAAGUCUCUGUCUCCCCAGCAAGUUUUCCUUAUGAAAUGCAUUAUACUCCUGUGGAUUUUCG